rnacentral:ncRNA from 1 species
AACCUUGCCCUAAGUGGUGGGCAAGAAGAGCUAAGUGGAGCUGACAGG